rnacentral:rRNA from 1 species
ACGUAGGAGACAAACGUUAUCCGGAGUUACUGGGCGUAAAGGGCGUGCAGGCGGUUUCUUAAGUUCGUCGUGAAAUCGCCCGGCUUAACCGGGCGGGGUCGAUGGAUACUGGGAGACUUGAGGGCGGUAGAGGCGUGUGGAAUUCCGGGUGUAGUGGUGAAAUGCGUAGAGAUCGGGAGGAAGGCCGGUGGCGAAGGCAGCGCUCUGGAACAUUUCUGACGCUGAGGCUCGAAAGCGUGGGGAGCAAACAGGA